UCCUCCGUGGCGCAAUUGGCUAGCGCGUCUGACUGUUAUUCGAAUUACUUUGGAUCUCAAUAAUCAGGAGGUUGGUGGUUCGAGCCCACCCGGGGGAG